UUCUUUUGCUGUGCAGAAGCUCUUUAAUUUAAUGAGAUCCCAUUUGUCAAUUUUGGCUUUUGCUGCCGUUGCUUUUGGUGUUUUAGACAUGAAGUCUUUGCCCAUGCCUAUGUCCUGAAUGGUACUACCUAGGUUUUCCUCUAGGAUUUUUAUGGUAUUAGGUCUAACAUUUAAGUCUCUAAUCCAUCUUGAAUUAAUUUUCGCAUAAGGAGUAAGGAAAGGAUCCAGUUUCAGCUUUCUACUUAUGGCUAGCCAAUUUUCCCAGCACCAUUUAUUAAAUAGGGAAUCCUUUCCCAUUUCUUGUUUCUCUCAGGUUUGUCAAAGAUCAGAUGGCUGUAGAUGUGUGGUAUUAUUUCUGAGGACUCUGUUCUGUUCCAUUGGUCUAUAUCUCUGUUUUGGUACCAGUACCAUGCUGUUUUGGUUACUGUAGCCUUGUAGUAUAGUUUGAAGUCAGGUAGCGUGAUGCCUCCAGCUUUGUUCUUUUGACUUAGGAUUGUCUUGGAGAUGCGGGCUCUUUUUUGGUUCCAUAUGAACUUUAAAGCAGUUUUUUCCAAUUCUGUGAAGAAACUCAUUGAAAUGAGAAAAUUAUAAACUCCUGAGGUACAUUUCUGUAUGCAAACACCAAGUAAAGCAUUUUAAAAAUCCUUGUCACUGGCAAGUACAUGCAUGCUUUUUUCCCCUUAAAAUUAAAAAAUACAUAUAUAUGUAUGUAUGUUAUGAGCAAAUUUAAAAUGUCAUAUCAAACCAAUGCUCCAAAUGCAGCAAUUAGAGGAAAAAUAAAUAAAUGACAAAUAUUGUAUUUUUAAAGACAUCAGAGUAAUGAAGAAGCAAGGACUAGAUAAUAUUCCAGAGGAGGAAGACUCCUUUUUAAUAAGAUUUUGCUACCAAUCAAUUUUCUUAACCCUAGGAUAUUUGCUAAUUCUAAGCUUGGAUUAAGAACUGAACUUGAUGCAGAUGGAGGGAAAAAGAAACAGUGGAUCUCUUGGUAGUUGAGGUUGUCAUGAUAGACUGAAAUUCUGAGGAACCCAAAACAUAUGACAAACUUUCCUCAUGAGAUAUUUACUGAAUUUUGGGCCUGUGGGGAAAGUGGAAAAGUUCAGCCAUAAGCUUCUAAAAGGCAGAAUAAAUGUGGUGUUUAAGAGAGAAAGUCCCAUAAGGAAGAACUGCUUCAAAAAUACUAGCCAUAUCCCCAUAAAGACAUUUUCUAGAAAGCAGACACUAAAAAGCUCAUCUCAAAAUUUCUUAAGGAAAGAAAUGAAUCUCCCACAGUACCCAAGCUGGGGAGACAAAAUAUGGCACACUCAGUCAAAAUGGAUGAUAGGCCCAAAGACACUCCAGUGGUACACUGUAAUUUACUAAAACUGCAGCCCGAAACUAACCUAAUCUUUUUUGGAUUGAGGGAAUCAGCCUUUCACAUUACUUGCCUUGCAGAGAAAAGAUGAAACACUUGCUAGUGGAAUAUACAUCAUCUCCUUCUCUAUGAUACUUUCAUACACUAUAUCUGGCAUUACAAGACAUACAAGGAGAAAGGAUAAUAUUUGCAAUAAUCAGGUUUAAAAAUAGACAAUAGAAGCAGGCCCACAAAUGCUAUAGAUAUGAAUGUUUAUCAUACAAAGAGAUAAAAAUGACAAUAAUAAAUAUUGUAAAGAACAUAUAGGAAAAAAUAGACAGAUCGAAUAAAAAUAUUGAAAAUUUUAAAGCAGUACCAGAAUCUAUAAUAAAGAGAUGAGCAUCAGGAUUUUAAGGAUGAGCAAAAAUGACUAAAGAAGCUUCGUGGAAAGGGGAAACCGAAGAAAGGAAAAGGGAAAAGAGAAAAAAAAAAAAAA
rnacentral:lncRNA from 1 species